CGGUGUGCUUUGAGAAGUUUCUGUUAGAAAUAUUCUGAGGCUUGCUGGUUUCUUUCUCCAGCUUGCAAACACAGAGGAGUAUAUAGACGGUGCGUUGUCUGGACAUCUGGGUGAAGUUUUGAUAAGGUGCAAUAACGUCUUGUACAUCAGAGGUGUGGAAGAAGAGGAAGAAGAUGGAGAAAUGAGAGAAUAGGUGUUUUGUAUAUCUGGAAAUAAACCUUUUUCUUUUUUUUGUUUUUCUAUAAUUUUGUAGUUAUGUAUUCUUUUUCAUUUUAUUUUAAUAUGGGGAAGUUAACUCUUGGAAAGUCUUUUUAAGUCUUAAGACUAAUCUUUAUUGGUGUCUAAAAAACUAAUGUUGGAGGAAUAGGCAAUUAGUUCAAUUUAAAACUGAAAAUAUUAGAAUGAAAAGUGAAUAUUUAAAACCAAAAAAACCCAACCACCCACAACUUUUAAGUAUUACCAAUGUCAACAAAUGUUGUAACUGUCAAGGGAAAUACCUGAAUUUAAGUGAUUCAUUGAAUAAAUUAAAUCUUCAAAGUUGUGUAUGCCAAAAGAAAAUAGAUGGUUCAUCCAUGUAUCAGCUCAGUUUAGCGUCAGUGUCAGUACUCUGCCAUUAGGUAGUUAUGCUGAAUGCAGACUAGUGUAUAACAGAAAUUGAAGAAGUUUUCAUCACCUGUAUGUGACUCAUGUGUUACUCGAAGCUGUGCUGCCGAGUAGAUUGACGGAGCUGCAGGAAUAGCCUUUUCUCUCCAUAAUGAUAAUAUGGGGUGUGGAAUGAGCAACAGAAAAACUUUUAAAAUAUCAGCAGACAGCUGAUGAUUUGGUAAUGAUCCCUUCAGCUCUGAAGUGGUGAAUUAAAGAGGAUGCAGCUAUAAUGCUUUGUAGCCUUAUUUCAGUAGAAACUAUGUUUCACCUCUGUGAAAAUCUGUAUUUACACGAACCUCAUUCUUAGCUGUCUUUUCCACUUUAACAGCUGAAGACCGAACAAAAUACCAGUUAUUUUCCUAUGUGAAAUACAGGAAAAUAUGGCAGUCUACAUGUUGUACAGCCUGUAUGUAGUUACUAUUUAAAUACACUUAAUCUUUAAAUCUGGUCAUAAUAUUUGGAAAUAGUUAUGAAGACCUCACAGCAGGUGAGAUGUGGAGAUCUGUUAUACCCCAGUGUCUGCUACUUUGAGUCAUGAAGCUUGAAGUGUGGCUGUACAGUUGUUAUUAAGAAAUGACAAAUCUGCAUUGACUUUGUAGACAAUAUCCACACAAACAAAAGCCUCCUGGCAGCUAUGCUGCACAAUACAUACACUGCACAGUAUGAGUGUACUUUCCCAGUCUCUGUCAUAAA